rnacentral:rRNA from 1 species
UACGGAGGGGGCAAGCGUUGUUCGGAAUUACUGGGCGUAAAGGGCUCGUAGGCGGCCAACUAAGUCGGAUGUGAAAUCCCCAGGCUUAACCUGGGAACUGCAUCCGAGACUGGAUGGCUUGAAUCCGGGAGAGGGAUGCAGAAUUCCAGGUGUAGCGGUGAAAUGCGUAGAUAUCUGGAGGAAUACCGGUGGCGAAGGCGGCAUCCUGGACCGGCAUUGACGCUGAGGAGCGAAAGCUAGGGGAGCAAACGGG